GUGCUCACUUCAGCAGCACAGAAGCUAAAACUGGGACAGUACAGAGAAGGUUAGCAUGGCCCCUGCGCAAGCAUGACAUGCGUAUUCAUGAAGCGUUCCAUGUUUUU